UACAGAGGUCUCAAGCGUUGUUCGGAUUCAUUGGGCGUAAAGGGUGCGUAGGCGGCGCGGUAAGUCGGGUGUGAAAUCUCGGGGCUUAACUCCGAAACUGCAUUCGAUACUGCCGUGCUUGAGGACUGGAGAGGAGACUGGAAUUUACGGUGUAGCGGUGAAAUGCGUAGAUAUCGUAAGGAAGACCAGUGGCGAAGGCGGGUCUCUGGACAGUACCUGACGCUGAGGCACGAAGGCCAGGGGAGCAAACGGG
rnacentral:rRNA from 1 species